UACACACCGCCCGUCAAACCAUGAGAGUUGGCAACACCCGAAGUCGGUAGUCUAACCGCAAGGAGGACGCCGCGAAGGUGGGGUUGAUGAGUUAGGGUUAAGUCGUAACAAGGUACC
rnacentral:rRNA from 1 species